UGAAACGUGAUGAAAUAGUGAAUUUCUUACAUGGGGUGCAAGGGGUCGAAGGUUCAAAUCCUUCCGUUCCGACCA
rnacentral:tRNA from 1 species